AUUAGAGUUUGAUCCUGGCUCAGGAUGAACGCUGGCGGUAUGCUUAACACAUGCAAGUCGAACGGAGUACUUCGGUACUUAGUGGCGGACGGGUGAGUAACGCGUGAGAAUCUGCCUUCAGGUUCGGGACAACCACUGGAAACGGUGGCUAAUACCGAAUGUGCAGCAAUGUGAAAUAUUAAUAGCCUGAAGAUGAGCUCGCGUCUGAUUAGCUAGUAGGUGUGGUAAGAGCGCACCUAGGCGACGAUCAGUAGCUGGUCUGAGAGGAUGAUCAGCCACACUGGGACUGAGACACGGCCCAGACUCCUACGGGAGGCAGCAGUGGGGAAUUUUCCGCAAUGGGCGAAAGCCUGACGGAGCAAUACCGCGUGAGGGAGGAAGGCUCUUGGGUUGUAAACCUCUUUUCUCAGGGAAGAACACAAUGACGGUACCUGAGGAAUAAGCAUCGGCUAACUCCGUGCCAGCAGCCGCGGUAAUACGGAGGAUGCAAGCGUUAUCCGGAAUGAUUGGGCGUAAAGCGUCCGCAGGUGGCUGUGUAAGUCUGCUGUUAAAUAGUGAGGCUCAACCUCAUAAAGGCAGUGGAAACUACACGGCUAGAGUGCGUUCGGGGCAGAGGGAAUUCCUGGUGUAGCGGUGAAAUGCGUAGAGAUCAGGAAGAACACCGGUGGCGAAAGCGCUCUGCUAGGCCGCAACUGACACUGAGGGACGAAAGCUAGGGGAGCGAAUGGGAUUAGAUACCCCCAGUAGUCCUAGCCGUAAACGAUGGAUACUAGGCGUGGCUUGUAUCGACCCGAGCCGUGCCGUAGCUAACGCGUUAAGUAUCCCGCCUGGGGAGUACGCAGGCAACUGUGAAACUCAAAGGAAUUGACGGGGGCCCGCACAAGCGGUGGAGUAUGUGGUUUAAUUCGAUGCAACGCGAAGAACCUUACCAGGACUUGACAUGUCGCGAAUUUCUGUGAAAGCAGGAAGUGCCUUCGGGAGCGCGAACACAGGUGGUGCAUGGCUGUCGUCAGCUCGUGUCGUGAGAUGUUGGGUUAAGUCCCGCAACGAGCGCAACCCUCGUUUUUAGUUGCCAUCAUUAAGUUGGGCACUCUAGAGAGACUGCCGGUGACAAACCGGAGGAAGGUGGGGAUGACGUCAAGUCAGCAUGCCCCUUACGUUCUGGGCUACACACGUACUACAAUGCGACGGACAAAGGGCAGCUACCCAGCGAUGGCAAGCUAAUCUCAUAAACCGUCGCUCAGUUCAGAUCGCAGGCUGCAACUCGCCUGCGUGAAGGAGGAAUCGCUAGUAAUUGCAGGUCAGCAUACUGCAGUGAAUUCGUUCCCGGGCCUUGUACACACCGCCCGUCACACCAUGGAAGCUGGUAGUGCCCGAAGUCAUUACCCCAACCGAAAGGAGGGGGAUGCCUAAGGCAGGACUGGUGACUGGGGUGAAGUCGUAACAAGGUAACCAAU
rnacentral:rRNA from 1 species